GCGACAGUGCAGCUUAUAACCCUCGGCUGGACUUCCGUUCCGUCUCUUGAGUGAUGUCGUUCGCUGCGUUAACGAGCCUUUUACAAUUCAGGUCUGAGCGUCUUUCCAGAUGCACAGCGUGGGACUUUGUGUCUACAUGCGGCAGGCUGGCUGAUGUAAGUGGAGCAGCUGGCCUGCGCUGUGGCAGCCGCAUGUGAACAGAGACCAGUCUGGUGGAAUCCUGACAUGGUGGAGGACAAGUUCCUGUCUCUGUCCACCCAGUUGGACCAGACAGGCCUGCUGAUGGUUGACUGUACGCUGCCGUGGAGCAACCGGUCUCAUUUGUGUCCCAAGGAAAUGUAUGUUUUGUUGUGAUCAGUUCAUCAAUUCUGCAUAAUCGAUCUGGAUGUUUGUCUUAAAUGACCAUGUUUCAAUAAAAAUUCUUACUUUUAAAAAAAA
ensembl:lncRNA